rnacentral:rRNA from 1 species
AUUGAACGCUGGCGGCAUGCUUUACACAUGCAAGUCGAACGAAGUGGCGAACGGGUGAGUAACGCGUAAUCAACCUGCCCUUCAGAGGGGGACAACAGUUGGAAACGACUGCUAAUACCGCAUACUGAAGGAGGGGAUUGCGUCUGAUUAGCUAGUUGGAGGGGUAACGGCCACACAAGGCGAUGAUCAGUAGCCGGCCUGAGAGGGUGAACGGCCACAUGGGGACUGGGACACGGCCCAGACUCCUACGGGGGGCAGCAGUGGGGAAUCUUCCGCAAUGGACGAAAGUCUGACGGAGCAACGCCGCGUGAGUGAUGACGGCCUUCGGGUUGUAAAGCUCUGUUAAUCGGGACGCGGUACCGGAAUAGAAAGCCAUGGCUAACUACGUGCCAGCCGCCGCGGUAAUAC